rnacentral:rRNA from 1 species
GACGAACGCUGGCGGCGUGCUUAACACAUGCAAGUCGAACGGAAAGGCCCUGCUUGUGUGGGGUGCUCGAGUGGCGAACGGGUGAGUAACACGUGAGUAACCUGCUCUUGACUUUGGGAUAACUUCAGGAAACUGGGGCUAAUACCGGAUAGGAUCUCCUGCUGCAUGGUGGGGGGUGGAAAGUUUCGGCGGUUGGGGAUGGACUCGCGGCUUAUCAGCUUGUUGGUGGGGUAGUGGCUUACCAAGGCUUUGACGGGUAGCCGGCCUGAGAGGGUGACCGGCCACAUUGGGGCUGAGAUACGGCCCAGACUCCUACGGGAGGCAGCAGUGGCGAAUAUUGCACAAUGGGCGGAAGCCUGAUGCAGAAACGCCGCGUGCGGGAUGACGGCCUUCGGGUUGUAAACCGCUUUCGCCUGUGACGAAGCGUGAGUGACGGUAAUGGGUAAAGAAGCACCGGCUAACUACGUG